AUUGAACGCUGGCGGCAGGCCUAACACAUGCAAGUCGAACGAGUGGCGGACGGGUGAGUAAUGUGUGGGAAACUGACUGAUGGAGGGGGAUAACUACUGGAAACGGUAGAUAAUAACGCAUACCAUCGGAUGUGCCCAGAUGGGAUUAGCUAGUAGGUGGGGAAAAGGCGCACCUUGGCGACGCUCCCUAGCUGGUCUGAGAGGAUGUCCAGCCACACUGUAACUGAGACACGGUCCAGACUCUCACUGUAGGCAGCAGUGGGGAAUAUUGCACAAUGGGCGCAUGCCGGAUGCAGCCAUGCCGCGUGUAUGAAGAAGGCCUUCGGGUUGUAAAGUACUUUCAGCGGUGAGGCGUUACCCGCAGGAGAAGCACCGGCUAACUCCGUGCCAGCAGCCGCGGUAAUUC
rnacentral:rRNA from 1 species